rnacentral:rRNA from 1 species
GUGCCAGCCGCCGCGGUAAUACAGAGGGUGCAAACGUUGUUCGGAAUCACUGGGCGUAAAGCGCGCGUAGGCGGCCAGACAAGUGUCGGAUGAAAUCCCACGGCUUACCCGUGGAACGGUUCGGCAUACUGUCCGGCUCGAGGGUGGUAGAGGAGAGCGGAACUCCUGGUGGAGCGGUGAAAUGCGUAGAUAUCAGGAGGAACACCGGUGGCGAAGGCGGCUCUCUGGUCCACAACUGACGCUGAGGCGCGAAAGCUAGGGGAGCAAACGGGAUUAGAAACCCUCGUAGUCC